rnacentral:rRNA from 1 species
CCUACGGGUGGCAGCAGUGAGGAAUAUUGGUCAAUGGACGAGAGUCUGAACCAGCCAAGCAGCGUGAAGGAUGACUGCCCUAUGGGUUGUAAACUUCUUUUAUAUGGGAAUAAAACGUUCCACGUGUGGGAAUCUGUAUGUACCAUAUGAAUAAGGAUCGGCUAACUCCGUGCCAGCAGCCGCGGUAAUACGGAGGAUCCGAGCGUUAUCCGGAUUUAUUGGGUUUAAAGGGAGCGUAGGUGGAUUGUUAAGUCAGUUGUGAAAGUUUGCGGCUCAACCGGAAAAUUGCAGUUGAAACUGGCAGUCUAGAGUACAGUAGAGGUAGGCGGAAUGUGUGGUGUAGCGGUGAAAUGCUUAGAGAUCACGAAGAACUCCGAUUGCGAAGGCAGUUCACUGGACUGCAACUGACACUGAGGCUCGAAAGUGUGGGUAUCAAACAGGAUUAGAUACCCCAGUAGAC